rnacentral:rRNA from 1 species
AUUGAACGCUGGCGGCAGGCCUAACACAUGCAAGUCGAGCGGAGCGGCGGACGGGUGAGUAAUGCCUAGGAAUCUGCCUGGUAGUGGGGGAUAACGACCGGAAACGGGCGCUAAUACCGCAUAAUAUCAGAUGAGCCUAGGUAGGAUUAGCUAGUUGGUGGGGUAAAGGCCAACCAAGGCGACGAACCGUAACUGGUCUGAGAGGAUGAUCAGUCACACGUGAACUGAGACACGGUCCAGCAUCCUACGGGUGGAGGCAGUGGGGAAUAGUGGACAAUGGGCGCAUGCCUGAUCCAGCCAUGCCGCGUGUGUGAAGAAGGUCUACGGAUUGUAAAGCACUUUAAGUUGGGAGGCGUUACCAACAGAAUAAGCACCGGCUAACUUCGUGCCAGCAGCCGCGGUAAUUC